rnacentral:rRNA from 1 species
UACGUAGGGGGCAAGCGUUGUUCGGAAUUACUGGGCGUAAAGGGCGUGUAGGCGGUCCGCUAAGUCUGAUGUGAAAGCCCGGGGCUCACCCCCGGAAGGGCAUUGGAAACUGGCGAACUCGAGUCCCGGAGAGGAAGGUGGAAUUCCUGGUGUAGCGGUGAAAUGCGUAGAUAUCAGGAGGAACACCGAUGGCGAAGGCAGGUCUGCUGGGCAUUAACUGACGCUGAGGAGCGAAAGCAUGGGGAGCGAACAGG